rnacentral:rRNA from 1 species
GUAACAAGGUCUCCGUAGGUGAACCUGCGGAGGGAUCAUUACACAAUAAAAUACGAAGGCCGUUCGCGGCUGGACUAUUUAUUACCCUUGUCUUUUGCGCACUUGUUGUUUCCUGGGCGGGUUCGCUCGCCACCAGGACCACAAUAUAAACCUUUUUUAUGCAGUUGCAAUCAGCGUCAGUAUAACAAAUGUAAAUCAUUUACAACUUUCAACAACGGAUCUCUUGGUUCUGGCAUCGAUGAAGAACGCAGCGAAAUGCGAUACGUAGUGUGAAUUGCAGAAUUCAGUGAAUCAUCGAAUCUUUGAACGCACAUUGCGCCCUUUGGUAUUCCAAAGGGCAUGCCUGUUCGAGCGUCAUUUGUACCCUCAAGCUUUGCUUGGUGUUGGGCGUUUUUGUCUUUGGCCCGCCAAAGACUCGCCUUAAAAUGAUUGGCAGCCGGCCUACUGGUUUCGCAGCGCAGCACAUUUUUGCGCUUGCAAUCAGCAAAAGAGGACGGCAAUCCAUCAAGACUCCUUCUCACGUAGACCCC